GAUGAACGCUGGCGGCGUGCCUAAUACAUGCAAGUCGAACGAAACUUCUUUAUCACCGAGUGCUUGCACUCACCGAUAAAGAGUUGAGUGGCGAACGGGUGAGUAACACGUGGGCAACCUGCCCAAAAGAGGGGGAUAACACUUGGAAACAGGUGCUAAUACCGCAUAACCAUAGUUACCGCAUGGUAACUAUGUAAAAGGUGGCUAUACUACCGCUUUUGGAUGGGCCCGCGGCGCAUUAGCUAGUUGGUAGGGUAAAGGCUUACCAAGGCAAUGAUGCGUAGCCGAAUUGAGAGGUUGAUCGGCCACAUUGGGACUGAGACACGGCCCAAACUCCUACGGGAGGCAGCAGUAGGGAAUAUUCCACAAUGGGCGAAAGCCUGAUGGAGCAACGCCGCGUGGGUGAAGAAGGUCUUCGGAUCGUAAAACCCUGUUGUUAGAGAAGAAAGUGCGUGAGAGUAACUGUUCACGUUUCGACGGUAUCUAACCAGAAAGCCACGGCUAACUACGUG
rnacentral:rRNA from 1 species